AUAUCAGUCAUGCAUAGCAUAUCAAUAAGCGGAGGAAAAGAAACUAACAAGGAUUCCCUUAGUAACGGCGAGUGAAGCGGGAAGAGCUCAAAUUUGAAAUCUUCAAGGUUUUACCUUGACGAAUUGUAGUUUAAAGAAGUGUUUUCUGUUGAAGUUUUGGUAAAAGUUCUUUGGAAUAGGACAUCAUAGAGGGUGAGAAUCCCGUAUUUGACCAUUACUUUCAGCUUUGUGAUACACUUUCAAAGAGUCGGAUUGUUUGGGAAUGCAGUCCAAAAUGGGUGGUAAAUUUCAUCUAAAGCUAAAUAUUGGCGAGAGACCGAUAGCGAACAAGUACCGUGAGGGAAAGAUGAAAAGAACUUUGAAAAGAGAGUUAAACAGUACGUGAAAUUGUCAAAAGGGAAGCGUUUGACACCAGUGUUGUUUUCUCGAAAAUCAAUUAAAGAGAGUUGGAUUUUGUGUUGUAUUGACUUUAUCGGCUUUCUUCACUCUUUUCCAGCUUUUUUUAAUGCACUUUUCGUUUAACAAGUCAACAUCAGUUUCUUUUGUUGUAAAAAGGUCAUUGGAAGGUGGCUUUCUCUUCGGAGAAAGUGUUUAUAGCCUUUGACUCAUGCAAUCGGAGAGACUGAGGUCUGCAGCGUAGAUCCUUCGGGGUUAGAUACAUUUGUGCUAAGUUAUAGCUUUUCAUAGACAACUUGUUGACUAUGUUUAGUCUUGUAGCUUACUCGCUUAUGCUAUUUUACCUACGCUUAGGAUGUUGAACUCUAUCACACACAG
rnacentral:rRNA from 1 species